rnacentral:misc_RNA from 1 species
UUUUCCUAGUCUGCUAAAACGUAAGCAUUUGCUCUUAAAAAGGUGGUCAUUUGUCUUCGGAUAAGUUGUUAAAAAAUUAUUAAUAGCUUAUAUGGUUAUGUCUGUAUAGUUUAGCGAAAUUUGAUUAGAAAAGGCCAAAGAAAUUCUAUUUAAGGUAGAAUUAUUGAGCUUGAUACAGGCUAAUAAGUCAUGCAAGAAACUUUUCCCUGUCUUGACGAUGUCUUUUUCAUUGCUUCUUUUGGUUGGGAUUAUGCUUUUUAGCACAACAGUGGUCUACUGUGACUUGUAUGACUAAGUGUCAAUUAUUAAUUGGACGAAGAUCAAGGUAUAUAUAUAUACUAUAUUUAUUUAUAUGAUCUAUUGUUCGUAUGAAUGCCUAUGAAGAUUUAUAUAAACAUUUCUUUUAUUUAUUUGUCCUUUGGCUAUUAUUACACAAUUUUCCAGUUUAAGUAGAGAUAAUCAAGUUGAGUCGGUUCAGGUUAGGUUAGAGGCACUCAUUGACUUGACUCUUUUAGAUUGUUUUAAGUCAUUUUUGUUAUUAUUGUUUGUGGGUGUAGUUUUGCAUAUUACAAUGUUAAAUUUUAAAAAUGAGGACCAAAAGUAAAAAAAGGAGUAAGUUUUAAGGUUCUUGUUUGCAGUUUUAAAUUCUAAAAUUAAAUUAUUUUUG